UGCCCCCAUGAGAUGAAGAUGAGGACCAACUUUAUCUUCUAUUAGACGCAGAGUCUCUGGUCUGAUUCCUCAGUCUGCCAUCUUGAAAGCCUGACCGUGCAGAACCCCUGAAGCUCUCCUGGGAGGAACCAUCACCACCUUCAGAAAGGCCACCUUGACUUUGGUCACUUUACAGGGGACAAAAACCAACUCUGUUCUUGGAGCCACGAGGGCCACUCCUUUAAGUGCCAAAAGGCGCCCCCUUACAGGAACCUUGAAUUCCACCUCGGAGCAUCAAUACCUCCAUGAACCAGGCUGCAUAUAUUUACAGAGGGAAUCAUAUCACCCAUUUCCCUGGUGGUAAAGGGAGAAGAUGACCAAGGCUCAUCAGUGGAUGUGUCCUGUCUUGUGGAAACCCUCACAGUACUUCUCUGGGAGCUCGAGGAUGGCCUGGUGCCUGCCCUGCAGCAGGGUAACACCCCCUAUGUCCAUGGGGUUUUGUAUUUGUACCAAGAUUUGGCCAGUACCCAGAAGGCUCUGGAGCUGCUGGGUAAAAGGUAUGGACGCCUCCAGCCAUAUGUUGAGGAGGAGUACCUUCAAGACAAGAAAUCAUGACUCACCUUCUUCUCAUUCCCUAAGAAACAAUAUUGAAGUUAGACCAGUUAAUUACUCUGUAAUGGACUGAACAGUUGGAA